UAGGGUCCGCAAGGACUCUGUGAGUGGCAAACGGGUGCGUAACACAUUGGUAACCUGCCCCGAAGUUCAGAAUAACGUCCCGAAAGGGACGCUAAUACUGGAUGCGGUCCGCGGAGGAAACUCUGCGUACCAAAGGCGAAAGUCGCUUCGGGAGGGGCCUAUGGUCCAUCAGCUUGUUGGUAGGGUAACGGCCUACCAAGGCUACGACGGAUAGCGGGAUUGAGAGAUCGACCCGCCUCACUGGGACUGAGACACUGCCCAGACUCCUACGGGAGGCUGCAGUCAAGAAUAUUCCCCAAUGGCCGAAAGGCUGAGGGAGCGACGCCGCGUGUAGGAAGAAGGCCCUCGGGUUGUAAACUACUUUUCGAAGGGACGAACGCAAGUGACGGUACCCUCGGAAUAAGGGGCUGCUAACUUCGUGCCAGCAGCAGCGGUAAGACGAAGGCCCCGAGCGUUAUCCGGAUUUAUUGGGCGUAAAGCGUUCAACGGUGGUUCGUCGCGUCGACGGUUAAAUCCGUGGGCUCAACCCACGGGCUGCGGUCGAUACGGACGAACUCGAGGACGGGAGAGGGAAGCGGAACUACCGGUGUAGUAGUAAAAUGCGUUAAUAUCGGUAGGAACACCAAUAGCGAAGGCAGUUUCCUGGAACGUUCCUGACACUCAACGAACGAAAGCGUGGGUAGCGAAUGGGAUUAGAUACCCCAGUAGUCCACGCCGUAAACGAUGGAUGUUAGAUGUUGGCGGUUUCGACCCCGUCAGCAUCGUAAGCUAACGCGUUAAACAUCCCGCCUGGGGAGUACGGCCGCAAGGCUAAAACUC
rnacentral:rRNA from 1 species